UACGGGAGGCAGCAGUGGGGAAUAUUGCACAAUGGGCGCAAGCCUGAUGCAGCCAUGCCGCGUGUAUGAAGAAGGCCUUCGGGUUGUAAAGUACUUUCAGCGGGGAGGAAGGCGAUGCGGUUAAUAACCGCGUCGAUUGACGUUACCCGCAGAAGAAGCACCGGCUAACUCCGUGCCAGCAGCCGCGGUAAUACGGAGGGUGCAAGCGUUAAUCGGAAUUACUGGGCGUAAAGCGCACGCAGGCGGUCUGUUAAGUCAGAUGUGAAAUCCCCGGGCUUAACCUGGGAACUGCAUUUUGAAACUGGCAGGCUUGAGUCUUGUAGAGGGGGUAGAAUUCCAGGUGUAGCGGUGAAUGCGUAGAGAUCUGGAGGAAUACCGGUGGCGAAGGCGGCCCCUGGGACAAGACUGACGCUCAGGUGCGAAAGCGUGGGGAGCGAAACAGGAUUAGGAUACC
rnacentral:rRNA from 1 species